CUGGGAAAUCUGCAUUCUUAACAAGCAAGUCUGGUUAUUUGUUAAGCAGUCUAAAGUUUGAGAAGCACUGAUCGAUGUUAGUGAGGUCCUCCCUUCCUAGGUUGAUUUGAAUACACAAUACCAGAGGGCGCGGUGAGAUGACUCACAGGACAAGUGGCUGCAGCUUUGGGAACUAUCAGAGAUGACAAAUAAGAGAGAUGGAUAUACAAGCAAAUGUCCUAAUGACUGGAAGCAGAAGGAGAGAAAACGUAAGAUAAAGAGAAGUGGGGAGACUAUAUGAAGAAAAGAGCUGACAGUACAGAUGCUUUAACCCAUGAAUCUUUUAUUUUUUUCAUAUACACCUUGUUAUUGAAAAUGAAUGGCAGGAACUUAUGUUACCCGAAAACAGUAUGGAAUGUGAAACCAGAGGGAGAAUUUGCAAAUAUGUCUUUCUUAAAGAGGAUUCAUUUCUCUUACUGGAAAUAUUAUUUAAACACCUACCUACUGCUGACUAUCAAAUUCAAAUGUGUUUUUUAUGAACAUCUUCACAACCCACCUCAACAAACAGAUUCAAGAAAGAAUUAAAGGAAAGAAUGUGUCUAAGUUUCUCUCCAUUAAUGAAGGGGAAAGUCAGGCUUUUGUUAUUUUUCCAGGGAAGUAUAAUUCAUGUCACUGAAGGAAACUACUGCUAACAGUGUGAGUAUUUCAUUCUUUUCCUCAUUCUCUCUUUCUCUCUCUCU